rnacentral:rRNA from 1 species
CUCAAUGAAAAUUCAAUAGCCGCAAUAUUAUUGUGCUAAGGUAGCAUAAUCAUUUGUUUUUUAAUUAAAAACUAGAACGAAAGAUUUAAUAUUUUUAUUUCUCUCCCAUAUUCUCCUUAUAUAAAUUAUUUUAAAUAUAAAAAAAUAUUUAUAAUUAAAAAAGACGACAAGACCCUAUUGAACUUAACUAAAGUUAAACUGGGGUAGUUAAUUAAACAUAAUUUUAAUUUUAAAACAAAAAAAAUCUAAUACAAUUAAAUUAUAUCAAGUUACCAUAGGGAUAACAGCGUAAUAAUUUUCUCAAGAUCUUAUUCAAAAAAUUGUUUGCGACCUCGAUGUUGAAUUAAUAAUCUAUUAAAUGCAAUAAUUUAAUAAGAAAGUCUGUUCGACUU